rnacentral:rRNA from 1 species
CAAUAGCGUAUAUUUAAGUUGUUGCGGUUAAAAAGCUCGUAGUUGGAUUUCGGUUAAGAGCGACCGGUCCGCCGUUUGGUGUGCACUGGUUGGUUUUAACUUCCUGUAGAGGACGUGCUCUGGGUUUAACGACCUGGACUCGGAGUCUACGUGGUUACUUUGAAAAAAUUAGAGUGUUCAAAGCGGGCUUACGCUUGAAUAUUUCAGCAUGGAAUAACACUAUAGGACUCCUGUCCUAUUUCGUUGGUCUCGGGACGGGAGUAAUGAUUAAGAGGAACAGUUGGGGGCAUUCGUAUUUCAUUGUCAGAGGUGAAAUUCUUGGAUUUAUGAAAGACGAACUUCUGCGAAAGCAUUUGCCAAGGAUGUUUUCAUUAA